CGUUGCUCUCUGCCGGCUUGUUUUGGGUCUGGCUUCAUCCCCAGUCUGUGGGCCCCUUGAGGACAGCCGCCAGGUCUUCGUGGGCUCUGCAACCCUUGGCUUAAACAGAGCCCGGGCAGAGGAGGAGAACAUCGAACAACUCAGAUGCCCUCAGAUCAUCCUUUUUCAGGAUCCUUCUGGCCUCUUCAAAGAUCAUCAGUUUUGGAAGAACCAUUCCUAAAUUUCCACUCGAAAGCAGUCCUUGUCUCCCUUCUCAUUCUCAAUAUUAUUUUCAAAUUAGAGGACAUUCUUCUUGCCCCGCACUUUGAAAAUACGAUUUGAUGGUAGCCUAGCUUUUUACCAUCUCUUCUGUGACUGGCAUUGAUGACAGCCCUCUUUUAGUCACACGUCUAAAGGAGACUGUCUCCUUCCAUUUCUAGAACAUCAAAUAGCUCAUUGAGGGCUUUUGCAUGCUUUGAGGAAACUGAGACAUAACCAAACCUGUCACUGGGAAAGCCUCAGUCUCAUAGGGAGCAAACCACAGUCAUUGGGCCGUGUGCAUACAAGCUACAAAGGACAUUUAGCAGGAUAUCUCAGGUACAGCGUCUGAAUGAGGAACUGGAACUUUACUCAGUGUCACAGCACAAUCAAAGGAGCGAUACAUUCACCCAUGCCGUUGCCUGUGCUAACUGAGCGGCCACUAAUUUGAACCGAGAAUUGGUGGUGUAGGGGGAGACCGAAAAAUAAAAAUAAGUAAAUAAAUAAAACACAAACACACACACACACACACAAAAACACCUUUUGAUUAAGUUAGAAGUACUUGCCCAUUU